rnacentral:rRNA from 1 species
GACGAACGCUGGCGGCGUGCUUAACACAUGCAAGUCGAACGGAAAGGCCUGCUUUCCCUUGUGGAUUGCGGGUACUCGAGUGGCGAACGGGUGAGUAACACGUGAGUGAUCUGCCCCCAACUUGGGUAUAAGCCUGGGAAACUGGGUCUAAUUCCCGAUAGGACUGCAGGGUGGUGCCUGUGGUGGAAAACGAUUUUCUAGUGGUUGGGGAUGAGCUCGCGGCCUAUCAGCUUGUUGGUGGGGUAAUGGCCUACCAAGGCGGCGACGGGUAGCCGGCCUGAGAGGGUGGACGGCCACAUUGGGACUGAGAUACGGCCCAGACUCCUACGGGAGGCAGCAGUGGGGAAUAUUGCACAAUGGGCGGAAGCCUGAUGCAGCGACGCCGCGUGGGGGAUGACGGCUUUCGGGUUGUAAACUCCUUUCGACCGCGAGGAAGCCACCUGGUUGGAAGGGUGGUGACGGUAGUGGUAGAAGAAGCACCGGCUAACUACGUG